GGCCACAAUCAAAGCAGUCACUGCUCGGUCACUUGUAGUACUUGGGGGAGAAGGCUCACUGUCCCAACUUGUCCAAACGCGUUUCAGGGUAUACACCCCUUCCUCAGUGGUGGAGACAGUGAGCUCUGAGCAGCUUUUUGUAUCCUC